AUGGAGGAUCGGAUCCCAGACCACUUUCCCUGCAGCCUGAGGGGUCUGACCGCAUGAAUAUGGAAAAUAUAAUUGAAGCAACAGCGGAAAUUUCCGAGGGAUCGGAUGUGUUUCAAGACGACGGCCCUUAAGCGUGAAAAAUGCGCUUAUAGAGGGAGAAUGUGGGUUUCCUCCCCGCAACCACGAAUUUUCUUCAUCUUAAACGGAUUAUCAGGGUGAAUGUUUAUGGAGGGUGCAGCGCGAUGAUAGGAGUGCGUGGAUAUUCCGGACGGGACUAUCAUUUGAUUCCCCCGCAACGGAUAGUGUACCCGAAAGGAUUCAAAAGCGCCUCAGUCAAACCGAAAGCAGAGGUCAAUCAAUAGCUGGUCAGCACUAAUUGUGAGAAGGAUGAUACAUUUUGAUGCAGGUGAAACCUCACCAAGCUAGACAAGAAAUAGGGAAAUGCUUGACUGGGAUGUUUGAAUCAGCAUUGUUUGCUGACUGCCACAAAAAUGCAUCUAGGAACAUGAAACUUAUUUUGAUGCUUCGGACCAGUGAAAUGUAUCGUUAUAGAAGAGGUAUCAUCUCUAAUACGGCUACUUUUUUUUCUCAAAUCAAAUAUAGUGCAAACAUUGUAAAGGUGAUCCUCAAGGAAUAAAGGGCGCUCAAGAAGUAUA